rnacentral:rRNA from 1 species
UACGAAGGGGGCUAGCGUUGCUCGGAAUCACUGGGCGUAAAGCGCACGUAGGCGGCUUUCUAAGUCAGGGGUGAAAUCCUGGAGCUCAACUCCAGAACUGCCUUUGAUACUGGAGAGCUAGAGCCCGGAAGAGGUGAGUGGAACUGCGAGUGUAGAGGUGAAAUUCGUAGAUAUUCGCAAGAACACCAGUGGCGAAGGCGGCUCACUGGUCCGGUACUGACGCUGAGACGCGAAAGCGUGGGGAGCAAACAGG